rnacentral:rRNA from 1 species
ACUCAAAGGAAUUGACGGGGGCCCGCACAAGCGGUGGAGCAUGUGGUUUAAUUCGAUGCAACGCGAAGAACCUUACCUGCCCUUGACAUCUGCGGAAUUCUACAGAGAUGUGGGAGUGCCGAGAGGAACCGCAAGACAGGUGCUGCAUGGCUGUCGUCAGCUCGUGUUGUGAGAUGUUGGGUUAAGUCCCGUAACGAGCGCAACCCUUGCCCUUUGUUGCCAGCGCGUCAUGGCGGGAACUCAAAGGGGACUGCCGGUGAUGAACCGGAGGAAGGCGGGGACGACGUCAAGUCAUCAUGGCCUUUAUGGGCAGGGCUACACACGUGCUACAAUGGUGCGUACAGAGGGAAGCGAAGCUGUGAGGUGGAGCGAAUCCUUUAAAGCGCAUCGUAGUCCGGAUUGGAGUCUGCAACUCGACUCCAUGAAGUUGGAAUCGCUAGUAAUCGCGAAUCAGAAUGUCGCGGUGAAUACGUUCCCGGGCCUUGUACACACCGCCCGU